rnacentral:rRNA from 1 species
CAUAGGUUAAUGAGGCGAACCGGGGGAACUGAAACAUCUAAGUACCCCGAGGAAAAGAAAUCAACCGAGAUUCCCCCAGUAGCGGCGAGCGAACGGGGAGCAGCCCAGAGCCUGAAUCAGUGUGUGUGUUAGUGGAAGCGUCUGGAAAGGCGCGCGAUACAGGGUGACAGCCCCGUACACAAAAAUGCACAUGCUGUGAGCUCGAUGAGUAGGGCGGGACACGUGGUAUCCUGUCUGAAUAUGGGGGGACCAUCCUCCAAGGCUAAAUACUCCUGACUGACCGAUAGUGAACCAGUACCGUGAGGGAAAGGCGAAAAGAACCCCGGCGAGGGGAGUGAAAAAGAACCUGAAACCGUGUACGUACAAGCAGUGGGAGCACGCUUAGGCGUGUGACUGCGUACCUUUUGUAUAAUGGGUCAGCGACUUAUAUUCUGUAGCAAGGUUAACCGAAUAGGGGAGCCGAAGGGAAACCGAGUCUUAACUGGGCGUUAAGUUGCAGGGU